rnacentral:rRNA from 1 species
ACACUCCUACGGGAGGCAGCAGUGAGGAAUAUUGGACAAUGGGUGGAAGCCUGAUCCAGCCAUCCCGCGUGCAGGAAGACGGCCCUAUGGGUUGUAAACUGCUUUUAUCUGGGGAUAAACCUACUUACGUGUAAGUAGCUGAAGGUACCAGAAGAAUAAGCACCGGCUAACUCCGUGCCAGCAGCCGCGGUAAUACGGAGGGUGCAAGCGUUAUCCGGAUUUAUUGGGUUUAAAGGGUCCGUAGGCGGACUGAUAAGUCAGUGGUGAAAUCCGACAGCUUAACUGUCGAACUGCCAUUGAUACUGUUAGUCUUGAGUAAGGUUGAAGUGGCUGGAAUAAGUAGUGUAGCGGUGAAAUGCAUAGAUAUUACUUAGAACACCAAUUGCGAAGGCAGGUCACUAAGUCUUAACUGACGCUGAUGGACGAAAGCGUGGGGAGCGAACAGGAUUAGAAACCCGUGUAGUCCCAU